AUGCUGGUGAUGGUGGUAUAUUCUUUGUCGAUGGCCCAGGAGGCACCGGGAAGACCUUCCUAUACAGGUCACUUCUCGCAAAGGUUCGAGGCGAGGGCAAGAUCGCGCUAG
rnacentral:rRNA from 1 species